rnacentral:rRNA from 1 species
UACGAAGGGGGCUAGCGUUGUUCGGAAUUACUGGGCGUAAAGCGCGCGCAGGCGGCUCUUCAAGUCAGGGGUGAAAGCCCAGAGCUCAACUCUGGAACUGCCUUUGAGACUGAAGAGCUUGAGUACAGGAGAGGUGAGUGGAAUUCCCAGUGUAGAGGUGAAAUUCGUAGAUAUUGGGAAGAACACCGGUGGCGAAGGCGGCUCACUGGCCCGUUACUGACGCUCAGGCGCGACAGCGUGGGGAUCAAACAGG